rfam:Lutibacter sp. BRH_c52 BRHa_1002952, whole genome shotgun sequence.
UAUCUUUGCCAACUGCAAACCAAAAGGUUUAGCAAUACAUAAAAAUUAUUAAUAAAAUUAAUGUUAGCAUG